AUUGAGAGACAGGGGCGUCCGCUGUUCGGCGGGCUGAGAAGCACCCUUUGAACCUGAACCAGAUCAUGCUGGCGGAGGGAGUCGCUCGGGGCCUUGC
rfam:Rhizobium sp. AC27/96 AS1I6_2, whole genome shotgun sequence.